rnacentral:rRNA from 1 species
UACGUAGGGUGCAAGCGUUAAUCGGAAUUACUGGGCGUAAAGCGUGCGCAGGCGGUUUUGUAAGUCAGAUGUGAAAUCCCCGGGCUCAACCCGGGAAGUGCACCCGAAACUGCGAGGCUUGAGUACCGGAGAGGUUGGUGGAAUUCUCGGUGUAGAGGUGAAAUUCGUAGAUAUCGAGAGGAACACCGGUGGCGAAGGCGACUCUUUGGCCUGUAACUGACGCUGAGGCGCGAAAGCGUGGGGAGCAAACAGG